rnacentral:rRNA from 1 species
UGAACGCUGGCGGCGUGCCUAAUACAUGCAAGUCGAGCGAACAGACGCGGAGCUUGCUCCUCUGACGUUAGCGGCGGACGGGUGAGUAACACGUGGAUAACCUACCUAUAAGACUGGGAUAACUUCGGGAAACCGGAGCUAAUACCGGAUAAUAUAUUGAACCGCAUGGUUCACUAGUGAAAAACGGUUUUGCUGUCACUUAUAGAUGGAUCCGCGCCGCAUUAGCUAGUUGGUAAGGUAACGGCUUACCAAGGCAACGAUGCGUAGCCGACCUGAGAGGGUGAUCGGCCACACUGGAACUGAGACACGGUCCAGACUCCUACGGGAGGCAGCAGUAGGGAAUCUUCCGCAAUGGGCGAAAGCCUGACGGAGCAACGCCGCGUGAGUGAUGAAGGUCUUCGGAUCGUAAAACUCUGUUAUUAGGGAAGAACAAAUGUGUAAGUAACUAUGCACGUCUUGACGGUACCUAAUCAGAAAGCCACGGCUAACUACGUG